GACAGCUAAAUCAAACCAUCCCAACAAAGCUAACCCAACAUCAAACUGCUGAACCCAAUACUAGCACCCAAAACCAGCCCAACUAAACCAGUAAAACACCCAGAACCUGAACUUGGUGGUGCUGGUGCUGGAGCACUUGGAUCUGUUGGGUUAUCUGCGGUAGACUCCGCCGGAGUCUCUGGCAGGUAUGGAGGAGAACUAGUGGGCGAAGCAGCUGCCACUGGAGAGGGAGAUUGAGGAGCAGGAACAGGAGUAAGUUGAGGUUUCGGUCUAACAGCCAUGACAACAGUGAUCAACCUUUGGC
rnacentral:misc_RNA from 1 species